AAAAAAAAAAAACUCUCUCACUCCUGCUUAACCGUUAACGCCUCACCCACCCAUUAUUUUGUGAAGAGAGAGAGGUUUUUGGAGAGAGUGGCAACAGCUUCGUGGAGUUCCUCAACUCUUCUCCAGUCCCAGAUUAGCGGGUUUGGUGGAGGUCUUAGACAAUCUCGUUCUCAUCCCAAUUCUCUCACCUUUUGCAAGUUUCUCUGUUGGAUGGAAUGGCAAAUACUAGAAUGGUUGAACUUGGAGAAGUUCAGCUUGCUACUUACCUUUUCGAGAAGACAUUUACAGGGCAGCCUUCGUUUCAAAAUGGCUUGCCUUCACUCAUUGCAUUUCCCUUUGGAUGUAACACUGCAAAUUGUCUAAUUAGGUGAGUUUCCGCUUGAGGUUUAAAUUUUGAAGCUGCGCUCAUGCUGCAUUGUAUGAGAGAGAGCUUUAUGUUGACGCUGUUACUAAUUGGUUUGCAACCAUAAGUUUGCCUUGCAUUCUAUACUACUCAAAGGAUUCAAUGGUAACAAAUGCAGUCUUUCCUGGGUCUAUAUACACAUUUUUUUAUGACUAAAUUGUGACGUAGGAUAGUUUGGGAAACGUGGAUGAUGCUGUCCACACUUGAUUUUUUACUAGUUUUAGGGCCAAGAAUGGUCGUGGAUUUAGAGUUCAAUACGGUUGGAUGGUUCUAGUGUUUGUGACCAUAGUGGAUUAUAACUGUCUUGCUUUUUGAAGUUAAUUUGUGGAGAAUAAGGCAGAAGGAAUGAACUUUUGUUGGGAACAAUUGACUAGGCUUGCUUUACGUUGUAAUGCUGGAGUGGAAUUUCAUAGAUUGAUGCAUUGAAAAAGCAACAUGAAAAGAAAUCAUUAUUUAAUUAGGAGUCUUUUCUAAUAGACCGAUUAUUUAUGUUCAUUUUGCUUUUCUGGCAUUGGACCAAUUGUUAGAAUAUGUUAGAAUAGGAAAUAAUAUUUGCCAUAUUUUAUUCUUAUUUGAUAUUAUUUUCCCUUGAUUGAUGUAAUGGCCUGACCCAUAAUUUAUGCCUAAUGGCACUCCUGUAAUUACGUAUUAUUAUCAAUAUAAAAGGGGAUGAGGUCUCACUCAUUGCCUAUCUCUUUCUCUUCUCUAAACUCGUAACACCCCAGAAUUUUUCCCUCUGCUCGAGCACAAGAGUUCACGCUCGAGCGGUCUUGUGAGGCUCUUAGUACUUUUGCAGUUUGUUCGAGAUUCUGAGAGUUGUGAAUUUCCACUCGGGCACAGGAGUGGUCGCUCGAGCGGUCGGCUUCGGUAGUCUGUUCGCUCAAGAGCAAGAUUGGACGCUUGAGCAGUCUGCCUGGUUGAGUCUAAAUUUUUAGGACUAGUGGGGUUGCUCUUGACAUUUUUAUUAUUGUGUUUGGAGCUUCCUUGUUUUAUUUUGGGACAUUGAUCGAAGUAGUAACAUGAUGGUUGAGUAAGAUUAGACCAAAAACUUUGAUUCGAAUAAUUUUCCUAUGAACAACCAUCACUCUUUUACUCUUUUCUUUUUCCACACUUUGAAUUUGGAUAUGGGGCUAGAACCAUUGGAAAGAUUGUUUCCGGGGCUUCGAUUUGGACACAAAAACGACCUAAAACGAAGUCUGGAUGAGAGAGUUAUACCCGUUUGAAGUUUUAGUAUCUGUGCUGGAAGCAAGUGCACUUGAGCGCAGAAAGUGGCGCUCGAGUGGACUGUGCGAAUUCAACAGUUUAAAAAGUGCCUGUCUAGAUCAUUCUCUCCACUUUUCUUUUCUCUCUUUCCUUCUCUCAUCUAAGUCCGAAAACCCUUGAUUUCUUGACCCAAAUACCUUCCAUUUCUCAAAGAUUUGGCCAUAAUCUCUUACCAAAAAGUGAAGAAUACAUGAAGAUCUCAUUUUCCUACCGAUUGGAUUUUUGGUUUUAUGAAGGAAUCUCCUGGAGCCUUGCUUUCUUGCUUGGUCAUUGAGGUAGGGGUUUCUAGUUCUCCUUCAAUACUUUCAUUUAUAGAUAGAUUUGUGGUAUUUUCCUUAUAUAAAUACAAAAUAUACAUUUUUUAGCAUAUUGUGAAAAGUCAUGAGAUUGGGAGUUUUGGGUUUGAAGAGUUGGGGUUUACUUACUGGGUUAUGAUUUUGGGAGUGUAAGCAAUAGAAGAGUUGAAAUAAAAAGUGUUUUGUGAAAAGCUUUAAUUUCUCUUAAAAACCCCAGUUUGGUUCAUGAAGAUAGAUGAUGAUUUUGCUUAAAUUGAAAGUAGUAUCAUGAAAUUGAGGUGUUAAAUUACAAAUAUACAAGUUUAAUUGAAAUUUUAAAGAGUUUGAAAUUUAUGUAAAAGUUGCGAUUGAACUCUUAAUGUUGAUAUUUUAAAUUAUGCUAUAAUAUGAAACCAAACUUGGGAAAAGGAAUUAUUAAUGGUAUAGAUGAUAUGAGCUUUGUGAUGAAAUGAUGAUGUGGAGGUUUAAGAGUUUGUAUUUGUGAUACCCCUGUUCCGUAGUAUGCUAAUUGGUCCUUAAUUUGAGUAUGAUUAUGUGUUUAAUAUGAUUUCAUGUGCCAUUGUGUGAAAAUAUAUAGUUUUGAAUUUCUAUCUGUUCACAGUAGGAAUAUCUGUUUGAUUAUCUGCUUUGGAAAUUA